AUGUUCACUGUUAUAUUCAUGUGUCUGUGGCUUUCACUCGGUGACUCCAUGGCAGCUUCAAUAAAGCCACUUUUCACUCAUACAAUUAUAGAUGAAGGCAGUGACGUUACUCUGUCCUGCAGCAACAAAUCAAGUGGUACAGGAAACUACCUGCACUGGUACAGACAAUAUCCAAAAUCUAAACCUGACUUCCUUCUUUUUAUAUCACAAAGUGGACAUAAAAGUGAUUCAAUCCCACCACGUCUCUCUGCUGAAGUUGAUGAAAAGAAUAACCAAGUGGAUCUGCUCAUCUCCUCUGCUGCUGUAUCAGACUCUGCACUAUACUACUGUCCUCACGUGGUUCCCUCACGUGGUUUUCUUCCGAACGAUCCAUGCCUCGAGGCGGGGCUUCAUCUGCCACACCCCCUUAUACUCGACACGCGCUUCGGAGCCUCGGCUUCAGAUGGCCAUCACUACUGA